rnacentral:lncRNA from 1 species
GCGGGACUGGCCCUGCGCCCGGGCACCGCCUGCGCUGCGCCGCCCGGCCUCACUCCGCGGCCCGCCAGGACCCGGCCCCGGUGAACGGGCUCGGGGUGCCGAGGUCCGGCUGCGGGGCCGGGAAGCCACCUCCACCUUGCCGUCUGUUACGACCCCCGAGGCGCAAGGCUGAGCCCCAUCUCGCUAUCCGGGUCCGGAGGGGUUCACCUUAGAAGGAUUUUUUGAAGCUCUUGGCGCUGGCUCUAAAAGAACCCACUUCCUUGCGGAUUUCAGGAGUCAAGAAUCCUUAAACGGAGCCAAUUUGCUUUGUAAAGCCAAUUGCCCAAGUGACUUGAGUUCGAAAGGAGAUACUUCCUGGACAACUGCUAUAAAAACAACAACAAAUACUUUUAUUAAUUCGGGGAGCCUGGUCACCAACUGGAUGCUCAGGGGAGAUGGAACCCUGAGCAGCCCAUGUACAUGGAAGAUCUUUAUUGCAGAGAUCUUCAAACCAGCUAGUGUGCAUUUACUCCUGCCUCUCCAUGCCUGAAGGAAGGAAUGAAGAGGUCUCUGCUGUCCAUCUGAGCCAGUGACUGGGCUGUCUCUACCAGGCCAGAAUUUGGGGCAGGCAAGAUUUUCAGCAUCCCUAAAAUCACACUAAGAAGAUAAACAUGGAAACAGCUUGGAGCUGCCCUACCCAUAGUGAGGUGGUACUGACUGGAAGACAGCUUAAACGAUUUGGAGAAAAGUGGAAUACAUUAAUCUCAGAAAACUCUACCACCUGUAGAAAGAGAGCUAAAAUGGAGACAACCACAGGCAGUCUAAGAUACGCUGAACUACUACAGAAAAUAAUGCAGCAUGAAGGAAUGCUGGAAGGUAUGGGGUCAGAGCAAGCUGAUGGAGGGUCCUUCAUUUCCAAGCCACGAGUACAGCAGGAUGUAAGGCUUAGUUCAUAAGAACAUCUCCUGAAAGACAAUCUCUAUAAAAACUGUUUCAAUAGAAAGAAUGCAAGAUGUAACUGUUUAAUAAUAGGACUGAUAUUUUAAAAAACAAAUGAACGUAAUAGAAGACUAGAUGGAUGUGCUUCUCAAAGUCCUCUCUGUGGGAGGCUUCAUCCUCACUCUAGAUGUGUUGCCUGUAGCAGCUGUUAUUGAUUACCCGCCCAUAGCCUAUCCAUACUUACUCAUCAUUCCUUUACCUACCAGUGGCAUCCUAUUGGAAGCACCUGCGACUUUCUUAGGGCUUUCUCUUGGCCAAGCAUUGGAAGGCCAGCAGUAUUGAAAAGUUAAUAGUCUUGGAAGCACUGGCCCUCAACUAAUGACAAA